GAUGAACGCUGGCGGCGUGCUUAACACAUGCAAGUCGAACGAAGCAUUUGCGACAGAUUUUUUCGGAAUGAAGUUGCUUAUGACUGAGUGGCGGACGGGUGAGUAACGCGUGGGUAACCUGCCUUGUACUGGGGGAUAGCAGCUGGAAACGGCUGGUAAUACCGCAUAAGCGCACAAUGUUGCAUGACAUGGUGUGAAAAACUCCGGUGGUAUAAGAUGGACCCGCGUCUGAUUAGCUAGUUGGUGAGAUAACAGCCCACCAAGGCGACGAUCAGUAGCCGACCUGAGAGGGUGACCGGCAACAUUGGGACUGAGACACGGCCCAGACUCCUACGGGAGGCAGCAGUGGGGAAUAUUGCACAAUGGAGGAAACUCUGAUGCAGCGACGCCGCGUGAGUGAAGAAGUAAUUCGUUAUGUAAAGCUCUAUCAGCAGGGAAGAUAGUGACGGUACCUGACGAAGAAGCUCCGGCUAAAUACGUG
rnacentral:rRNA from 1 species